GGGGGAUACGUGACAACCCUGUUUACAAAUGUAACGAUUGAUUCUUCAAUGUUGUUUUGAACCGCACCGAUAUGUCCACACGCUGCCGCAUCUAGAGUGCUUUUGUGUCUGGUGAUGGUUUUAAAGUGCGUCGACGGAUUUGUCUUGAAGAUCCGCCCGAAAAUAACUUCAAGCAUGCUCCGAAAAAAGAGGCAUUCAAGAAUCCAAAGUAAUACGUUACAAUCCCCGUCUCGACGCCCGCAGACCCUCUCCACAUCAUUGGGAUUCCCGUUUCGAAUUCUUACAGCAUUGAGAGGCCGUUCUCUGCAGAAUAUCGACUCAAGCAAGUAGGACGGAGUCUGAAGGAGAACGACAAAGAGGAGACGAGAUUUUAGUGUGGGCCCGGCUGUAUUUUACAAGAUGAAUUUCAAAUUCUUCCAUCCUGAACCAAAUUACAUACAUCAACAAUAGUCUAGAAAAAACGGCGAUACCAUGGCAAUUGGAGAUCAGAUAAUAUCUUAAAUCUGUUACAAUUACAAAGAUCUCAUGCAACUAGAUCAGAAUGGUAAGUUUUUUCCAAUGUCCUAAAAUAAAAUGUUGACUAAAACAUUUUUCCUUUUUGUGUACGAAUUAAAUAAAUUUUGUUGUAUUUUCUGCUAAAUAUACAAACUUUG